rnacentral:misc_RNA from 1 species
AGUUGUUGUGCUCGUGUUCUGAGCGAUCUUGCACAGUAUGCAUUACAUUACAUGAGAGCAAUUGUUGAGAAGGUCCGCCAAAGUGUUAAGUUCGUUAAAACAGCAGAUGCCCAUGAAGAAAAGUUUUUGGAGCUCAAGAGACAACUUCAAGUUCCCAGUGCAAAGGAGCUCAUUGUGGAUGACCAAACCAAAUGGGAUACCA